UACGUAGGGUGCAAGCGUUAAUCGGAAUUACUGGGCGUAAAGCGUGCGCAGGCGGUUAUGUAAGACAGGUGUGAAAUCCCCGGGCUUAACCUGGGAACUGCAUUUGUGACUGCAUAGCUAGAGUACGGGUAGAGGGGGAUGGAAUUCCGCGUGUAGCAGUGAAAUGCGUAGAUAUGACGGAGGAACACCGAUGGCGAAGGCAAUCCCCUGGACCUGUACUGACGCUCAUGGCACGAAAGCGUGGGGAGCAAACAGG
rnacentral:rRNA from 1 species